UCUUUGAGCGACGUCUUCCUCUGAAGAACACAAUAGUACACUCUCCAUUCCUCUGAACACAACACAAUAGUACACUCUCCAUUCAGCGACGACGUUGUCUGACUAAAAUAAAACUUUUGAUUUUCCGUUGUUUCUUAAUAAUGCUUCUGAGUUUUGAUUUUUAAAGCUCGUCUCUCUUUCUCCUCAUUGAAUCUGAGCGUUCUCCCAUCACCUCAUCUUCUUAUAGAUACAUUGUUGAACUUCCAUUUGUCUCUUCUCCCCUUACCUCAUCUCCCGCACGACCUAAGAUUUACGUUUCAUUGUCUCAAACACGAUGUCUCUUCUUCCUUGAAGAAAAUCAUAGAUGCUCAAAGAUUUAUAAAUUUCAAUGUCGAUUAUUUGUGUCUACACGAUUCAUUGCGUCAAGCCUCCACUAAACCCAGAAAACCCAAGGUUCUCAAAUGGAAAAGGGGAUAUCAAUGGGAAAGGUUGCCUGAGAUAGGUGGUUGUGGUUGCCAUGGUUUUUGGUAUUCUUCUUUCUCCCAUUACUUCAGCUCUCUGUCCCUUUACUAAAUUUCAGGUUAGGUCUCCUUCACCUUCAUCUUUAUUUGCUUGAGAAAUGUUCCGAUUGCUUUCAAGGAUCAAUUACUCAAAUCGACUACUUACAGGUUCCUUAUCCUUCACCUCCAUCUCCAUUUGGUAAUUUUGCUUUGAGAUUAUUGAUCUUGUUUUUUAUCUUUUCCCCGAUCUUGUGACUGUGAUUGAUUAUUUCGAUUAUAUUGCUUUAACACAUUGACUAUUCUUUCCUAAAACUUACGGAGAGCAUGUUCAAGCCUCUUCUCAUAUAGAGUAUAGAGUGGGCAGAAUCUGAAGUGGAUGGAACUUCAGGAAGCAUUAAUAGGACAAUAUCUUUUUAUGGCAUGGUAAAUAAGGUUAUCAAAGAACCAUUGGUGUGACUACCUCCUUAGAAGCUCCCUCAAGAAGGAUCACUAGAAAGCAUGUCUAGAGGGGAGUCUUCUAUUCCAUCACCUUUAUCUUUGUUUUGCAU